rnacentral:rRNA from 1 species
CCUACGGUAGGCUGUAGUGAGGAAUAUUGGUCAAUGGACGAGAGUCUGAACCAGCCAAGUAGCGUGAAGGAUGACUGCCCUAUGGGUUGUAAACUUCUUUUAUAAAGGAAUAAAACGAGGCACGUGUGCCUUUUUGCAUGUACUUUAUGAAUAAGGAUCGGCUAACUCCGUGCCAGCAGCCGCGGUAAUACGGAGGAUCCGAGGGUUAUCCGGAUUUAUUGGGUUUAAAGGGAGCGUAGAUGGGUUGUUAAGUCAGUUGUGAAAGUUUGCGGCUCAACCGUAAAAUUGCAAUUGAUACUGGCAGUCUUGAGUACAGUUGAGGUAGGCGGAAUUCGUGGUGUAGCGGUGAAAUGCUUAGAUAUCACGAAGAACCCCGAUUGCGAAGGCAGCUUACUAAACUGUGACUGACAUUGAUGCUCGAAAGUGUGGGUAUCAAACAGGAUUAGAUACCCCUGUAGUC